CGAGGAUCCCGGAACCUAGCAUGAGACCUGGUACAGGGAAGAUGUCAGAAAAAGCUUAUUGACUUCCUCAAGGCCGCCUUUCUUCUGUGCACUGCCAAGACUGAAAGCGUUCAUGUGUCCUGUCAUGGAGGACCUGUCACAGGGACCCCAAGCAGAACUCCAAGCGUGACCUCUUGAGCAGAAGCAGCACAGUGCUCCACUGCGACACCUUCCUGACUGUCUACAGGGCUGUCUGUCAGGGCCUGAGGGCUGUUGACGAAAAUAAUCCAUAACCAAUCUAUAAAUGAAAAUUUGGAGAUGCAAUCACCAAGACCCUGAACCACACCAAGCCUCACAACCAGAGCUACGCCUAUGACCUUUGCCUUGUUUUAAUGCUAAGAUCUCUCCAGGAGGAGCUUGGGCCUUAUUACCAUACCCUGCGGUGUACAUGGAAGCAUGUUUUCCACCUGAGCCUGUGCAAGCAAAUACCCACCUCUCUCUU